AAGGACAUGGGAAUUUUUACAUUUAAUCAUGAAACCUCUCAUGUAAAUUGUUUUGAACUAUGAUCUCUUUUAUUUUCAAUUUUUGUAGAAAAUUAAAGCCUUAUUAAAGUAAUUUUAAUAUAAAAGGUUACAUUUUAUUAAAUAUAGUUCCAAUUUACUUCACGGGUAUAACAACUAAUGUUAUUUUGCAAAUACUAUAUAUUCACAUAAGUUAUAAAUCAAUAUAAUUUCAGUUUCCUUUAAAAUUAUGUUAAAAUAAUAAUAUUCAUAUUACCAAGGAACAUAAAAUGUAUAUUUGUGUUUUCAACAAAUUACAGUAUAUUUAAUUUCUUUUCUAAGUUAAUCUUCUACUAUAAAAAGAUUUUCAUAUUAACAAGACAAUAAAUUACUGAUAUUUCAAUGAUUUCCAAGGAAAAAGAUAUGUCCUUAAGAAGAAUAUAUUUAAAGACUCACUAUAAAACUGGAACAUUGGGCAGCCCAGGUGGCUCAGCGGUUUAGCACCGCCUUCAGCCCAGGGUGUGAUCCUGGAGACCGGGUUCGAGUCCCACGUCAGGCUCCCUGCAUGAAGCCUGCUUCUCCCUCUGCCUGUGUCUAUGCCUCUCUCUCUCUCUCUCUCUCUCUCUCUCUGUCUCUCAUGAAUAAAUAAAAUAUUUUAAAAAAACUAGAACAUUUUUAUAAUUUUUGAAGUAAUUAUUAACACAUUAUAUAUCCUGUAUUCAUUUUCAUUCACAGAGCAUAAUAGUUAUGAGAUCAUUCAGGUUAAAUAGAAUAUAUGUUCACCUGAGUAGAAACUUCAGUAAUGGUCUGUAGAUUAUUUAUACCAACAAUCAAAUAACUGAUUUAAAUAUUGUUAUAUUUCUUUCCAUAUUUUAUUUUUAUUUUUAAAUAAGCUGUGCAUAAUCCAUUUAGAUGGUAUCCUGAACCUUACACAUUCCCCAUCUUUUCCCUUUUGGGUCACCUUUCAAAGGAGCAAAAGCAUAUAAUGAUCUUUAUUAAAUCCAUACCAGUGCUGUAAAAUAAGAUUUCUACCUGUCAGAAACUUAAAGGCAUUUUCAUACUCUGUUUUAUAGGAAAGACUGGAUGGAUCAAGAGAUGUCUAACCCACAGUUUAACUCAUUAGCCUAAACAACUCCUCCAUGCCAGAUUCUAAUAAUUCAGGGUAACCAAAACACUCAUGUGCAGUUUACAGUUGGUACAGACAGCAUGCCAGGUCAAGCGAAGGUACUUGCAUGGCUGUUUCCUAGUGGCUUUACUUAUGCCAGGUCAAGAAAGGGAGGGCUUUCCCUACUAGCUAUCAGAUAACACAACCAACCCCAAAUGACGCUAGAGGUACUGGCAUUAUUCCUGGGACAGGAAUAAUCUUACUUUCAUUUUCCCUCUUCUCUCCCACUCCUCCCAGUUCUCCGCAUAGAAUGCAGGAUCUCUGGUCAAGCAAAGUAAAACUACACAUGAUCUAAACAGUCCUUCCCUUCUCUAAGAAAGUGCAAGGAAGAGUUGAGCAGAAACUCACUAUCUGUAGAACCCAUUUAAGUGCAAAUACUAGAAAAAUAUAUUACCAUGAAACAUUAAUAGAAAAAUCAUCACAUGUGAAAAGUUAGAAAUUUAAAUGAGAAAAUUACUAGUUAUUACAACAAAUGUCCUGACAUUUGUACACAAAUUUAUAACUUCAAGGAGAUUUGAGGGAAUGCUGCAGAUUACUUUCUGGAAAAGGCAGGAGAGAAAAAGGAACAUUCUUGUGAGAACAAAAUUUUAAUGUUGAAAAAUUUGACGACCACAUUUUAAAGUAUGACGGAGACACUAGAUUGCAUAAAGUAGAAGGAUAACGUGAUAAAAGAGAUUUUAGAAAGUCCAGGAAGUCAGAUAAACUGAAAUGAUAGAAAAGGUGAUUCCUAGUAACAAAUAUACCGAUUUUAAUUGAUACACAACAGGAAUUUCAGAAGCAGAAAUCAGAUGAGGCCGAGAGAAUACUAUAAAAGUAUAAGAAAAUAUAUUUGCAAUCAAAAUGGACUGUAGUCUCUAGGUGUUUGGAUUUACCACACAGCAGACAAAAUUAAUGGCAAUAACUUAUGAUUAUUCAUAAAAGAAUUAUUGUAUGCCUGCACUAUGGCAAGCAUUGUUAGACUAGUAGACUGAAUUCUGUGGCCAACUUCUAUGAUAUUCCCAGUCUUCUAUGAUUACUUCACCAGUAGGGUGAAGUAAUCAUUAUUCUUUAAUUACAGCAUUUUUAAAAAAUAUUUCAUUCCUUUAUUUGACAGAGAGAGAGCAUAAGCAGAGGGAUCAGCAGACAGAGGUAGAAGGAGAAGCAGGCUUCCCACUAAGCAGGGAGCCCAAUGUGGGGCUUGAUCCUAGGAGCUUGAGAUCAUGACCUGAGCGGAAGGCAAACACUCAACCAGCUGAGCCACCCAGGUAUCCCAAACACAAGCAUUUUUAAAGGAACAAAGGAUAUGGGACAAAAAGGUAAAUCUUAUAAGGGUAUUUGUGGCCUUGUCCUGUUUUCCUAUGCCUGCCUUAGAGUGGAGACUAUACCACUUCAGCGACUCCUUCCCUCAGAAUACUGUGACCUAUGGAGAUACAGUGUCAUGCACUCAUUCAGAACCGGGGUUCUCGUUGCCUGUCUUUUACCCAGAAGAGAACAAAGGAAAAGUGUCAUUCUGUCACAGGUUUUCAUUCUGUCGGCCAAGUUCUAAAUCUUGGCUUCUAAAUACACUCUCCACUUGAACUGGGCUCUUUAAGAAAUGGUUGAUCCUAGAGUUGUGUCAGGAAAAAGAACAAGACAAACCUCAAACAACUUGUAGAAAAAGCAAGGAGGUGCUUGAUGGGGCAUGUCUAAAAGAUGAAAGAACCACCUUGAAAGGACUCCUACCAGCAAAAUUAAAGACAAUUUGAGCAUCAAAAUAUUAAUAGCAAGGCAUUAUUACUUAGUAAAAUAGGAUACCACGCAUUCCUGCAGAUAGACAUAAGUGUGUAAAUUAAAAGUUUGACGAGAACUAAAAGACCUAUAGUUUCAAGUCACUAGCCCACAAAAUAUUUUUAAAUUUAACAGGGGAAGAGUAAUUUUACAGCAAAGCCUAGCAGCCCCUACCAAAAUCAAGUGAUUGACACGAUCAUCCUCAGAGAUGGGGGGACAAAAUGCAACUGAGUACCACCUGGCCAGAUGCAGUAAGAUGCAGCAUCACGGGAUCUAUGUUGUAUGAGAGAGCUCACAGUGAUGGAAAUUUUGUAAUGCUCAGUGAGCUCACAUUGGGUCGUGGUAUGCCAGUUAUCCAGUACUUGUGUUUAUCUGGUCACAAACUGGGCUUAGUUUGCAGUUUGUUGUUAUGCUUACUCUCAGGACACCUCCAGCUUCAAAGUCUUCCGGUAUUCAAGAUGUGAGUUAGUUUGCUAGAGGGUUUCACUAAAUGUCUGCUCCUCAGAAUCUGUCACUUGCAGCAUUACCAGCCGUAAUUCACUGUUCUUUUCACUCGGUGCUUGUUAGCCUGGGAGUGGGGAAUGGGGGACAGAAUGUUCUCUGAUGUUCAGUUUAAGUGUCAGUUUUCAGCAAAUACUGUAAGUCUCCUGAGGCCAUACCCCAAUUCCAUGUAGUCUGAAUUCAUAAACUGUGGGGACUUGGCCAAUUUAUCUCUUUAAUCAUGUCAUCAUGCAGCCGGUACUCACAGAGAACCCAGGACUGGCUAGAAAUCUCAGAGCUGUGUCUGGGUGUAUUUAUGGGAGGGGAGUUAUUGCGUGAUGGGGUGUCAGGGAGGAGUGUUGAUAACAACUUUUUUUAAAGAUUUUAUUUAUUUGAGAGAGCACAGGCAGGGAGGAGAGGGAGAAGCAGGCUCCCCACAAGUAGGGAGCCCAAUGUAGGGCUCAAUCCCAGGACCCUGGGACCAUGACCUGAGCUGAAGGCAGAUGCUCAACCAACUGAGUCACGCAGGUGCCCUGGGUUGAUAACAUCUUUCAGUCAAAAGUACUCAACAAGUAGACAAACCUAAUGAUUCUAGUUAGAAACAGAAUAAGGAAUGUCAUCCUAGUAAGUCAAGCUCAGCGUGUCUAUCUUGAUUCCCUUUGAUAAUUAAUCUGAAUGAAAACAAUAAUCACUAUGACCCCAGUAGCUAGAAUAAUAAGGCACUUUUUAAAUACGAUUCAACGCUCCCCAAGAACUAUUAUGCUCCAAAAAAAAAA
rnacentral:lncRNA from 1 species